UACGGAGGGUGCAAGCGUUAUCCGGAUUCACUGGGUUUAAAGGGUGCGUAGGUGGGUUGGUAAGUCAGUGGUGAAAUCCCCGAGCUUAACUUGGGAACUGCCAUUGAUACUAUCAGUCUUGAAUACCGUGGAGGUCAGUGGAAUAUGUCAUGUAGCGGUGAAAUGCUUAGAUAUGACAUAGAACACCAAUUGCGAAGGCAGCUGGCUACACGAAUAUUGACACUGAGGCAACGAAAGCGUGGG
rnacentral:rRNA from 1 species